AAUCCCAGUUUUUCUUCUUUGCUUUUCUGUUCAUGAUAAAAAUCUGUCCUAAAUAGACGAGUAAAUUAUUUAUGUAGAUUUCAAAAUGAAAAUUAACCAAAUUUAUUUGAUCUAAAAAAUUAGGCAAAGCUUUAAAUUUUGUUUAUGUAAAAAGUUGAGUCAGAAUCAAUGUUGGCCCUCGAUUCAAAAGGUACUGGAAUCUGAAGACAGUUGUUGGUAAUAUGGUCAUACUAUUACCCAGUUUCAGCCAAUAUGGUAUUUAAUGAACUACAAGGAAAAAUCAGACCCGGAAAACAUUGUAAACACUGUAACCGUUUACAAUAUGGUUUCAAAUUAUUUGAAUAUAUCAAAAAUGUUAUAAAUGGCUUGGAAAUGCCUUAUCUUGGACAUUAAAGGAUCGUCCUCUGGACCUACAACAGACUUCAGAUCAGCAUCAUAGGCAUUCAUUUUUGGUUGAAUGGAUAACCCUUUACAAAAGGAAGGAAAUUCGAUGCCCUAGAGCAACUCCAGCGCAGCACUCUGCCCUUAAAACGUGCCGAAGACCGGUCUUUGCAUGAAUCAUUCUACCAGCAAUCCGAAGUCAUGAUUCCCCAACACCAGGGUAAGCGCCAUCCUGUUUCGCGAAAUACUCGCGCACAGGGCAUUUGCCACCUUGCAGCCAUUGUAGAGAGCGUCAGCUCUACAAAGAACCUCGCACGGGGGAAUCCUUAUUCCGUAGCACGUUCUGUGUCUAUCACCGAUCACAUUUUUAUGUGGCUAAAACCGGUCGUUGCAUGAAGCAUUCUAUCAGCAAUCCGAAGUCAUGGUUCCUGAACACCAAGGUAAACGACAUCCUGUUUCGCGAAAUACUCGCGCACAGGGCAUUUGCCACCUUGCACCAGCGUCAGCUCUACCAAGAACCUCGCACAGGGGAAGCCUUAUUCCGUAGCACGUUCUGUGUCUAUCAGCGAUCCGGCCAGCCUACAAAAAUGCU